CUGGAUGGAUAGCAAAGGACUGAAAGGAAGAAAAGGAACACCUGUUAUCAUGCAAACGUAGUAACUGCAGGAAACAGCCACCACUCCUAGGACUAGAGGAACAGAGGGAAAGGGCUGGGGCUAUUAGAACCCAGAAGCCUGGAGGACGCCCUCACAAAACUAGGAUGAAGACUUCUCAGAAAAGGGUAACGGCCUGCUGGUAUCGGUACCUCAAGAAACUCGAGGAGGGGGUUCACAGAGCUGGGACCUAGAUCUCUCAGGAGGGGGCAUGAGCUAAAUGCGGCUGCACCAGAAGAGCUCAGAGGGAAGGUAUAAGUUAGGACUUGGUCUUUUUAGGAGAGGGUGCUACCUGGAUGCUGCUGGUAACUGAUGGGGUGAGAUGGGCUGAUUGUGGGAACUUAGCAAAACGAAGGAAACUGGAAGCAACUCCACUGCUGGGAUAACGGUGACAGGAACAGCAAGCAUGGGGAAGGAACAUCUCUUCUCCAUCUUCCUGUUGUCUGGUCUCCUUUUAGCAUCCCCUAUUAUCAGGACCUAACAGGGAGCAGCUGGCAACAAGGAAAUUGGGUUGCAAAGUCACAGCCUCACCAUUGCAGAGCUGAGCACAGAAGAGUUAUUAGGAGCUGGAGAUGGUAGCUUUAUAACACCAUGCCUCCCUACUCUCUCCAUCUAACCCCAGCCCAGGGAGGGAACAUUCUAAUCUGGAGGGUUGGAUGACAACCUAUCUUGCUCUUUACUCAUCUUAUUAGUCCAUUCUCACACUGCUAUGAAGAAAUACCUGAGACUGGGUAAUUUAUAGAGGAAAGAGGUUUAAUUGACUCACAGUUCUGCAUAACUGGGAAGGCCUCAUGAAACUUAACAAUUACGGCAGAAGGGGAAGCAAACAUAUCCUUCACAUGGCAGCAGGAGAGAGAAGUGCUGAGCAAAAGGGGAAAAGCCCCUCGUAAAACCAUCAGAUCUCAUGAGAACUCACUCACUGUCAUGAGAACAGCAUGGGGGUAACUGCCCCCGUGAUUCAAUUA
rnacentral:lncRNA from 1 species